AGGUAGUAAUAUUGUAUUAUAAAACCUAUUUAUAAAGGCGGCAUUUUUUCUUAUUAGAGGAACUUGUUUAUUAAUCGAUAAUCCACGAUAACUUUCACUUUUUAUAAAAAUUUAUAUACCGCCAUCUUAAGAACCAAUUUAACAAUAUCACUCUUAAUAAAAAAUAAAAAGUUAGGUCAAGGUGUAAUUUACAAAAAAGAAGAAAAUGAGUUACAUUAAAAAUUAUUUAAGAAUUUUAUUUUUUAAAAAUCAAAUGAAAUAGGAUUUAAAAGUAAUUUUUCAAAACAAUAAUUUAUUAUGAACCAGAUAAAAAAUGUGC
rnacentral:rRNA from 1 species